rnacentral:lncRNA from 1 species
AGAGAAUAAGUUUUGGGAGUUUUGAAGGAUCGGAGGGCUAGCUUCAUGCUUCGGAGCAGGGAAAAAAGACAAAGAAUUGGGUUUUUUUUUCUUCAUAGGAUUUUGGGAAGAUUGAGGCAAUCGUUGCUGAAGUCAGUGUUGUAAUGGUGAAUCGGGAUUUUUAAUGAAGUGGGUUUGAUUACUCUUGACUGUUUUAUGAAAUCGAGUUACGUCUAUGA